rnacentral:rRNA from 1 species
CCCCCCGGCCCGGGAUAGCCCAGGGAAACCUGGAUUAAUACCGGAUGAGACGGGACCCGCGAAGGCGGGACCCGGGAAAGGCGCUGCGGCGCCGGCGGGGGAUCGAGUCCGCGUCCCAGUUAGCUAGACGGCGGGGUAACGGCCCACCGUGGCGACGAUGGGUAGCCGGCCUGAGAGGGUGACGGCCACAUUGGAACUGAGGACACGGUCCAGACUCCUACGGGAGGCAGGCAGCUAAGAAUCGUUCCGCAAUGGGCGAAAGCCGUGACGGAGCGACGCCCGCGUGAACGAAGAAGGCCGUGAGGUUGUAAAGUUCUUUUCGGGAGGGGGAACAACCGUGGCAGGGAAUGGCCGCGGGAUGACGUGAAUCCCGGAAUAAGCCCCGGCUAACUACGUGCCAGCCGCUGC